rnacentral:lncRNA from 1 species
CAACAACCCUGUGACGCUCGUAAUCCGUCUCUCUUCUUUCUUGAACUAUUAUAUGCAUUUCUUUCCUUCUUUUUCUCUUUCCCCACUUUCUCUCUAUCACUCUCUCUCUUUUUAAUACAUUUGACUUUCUACCACCGCUUUUCCUACGCGAAUUUCGUUUCUCCCUUACAUUAGUCUCAGAAAUGUACAACAUAGAGGGUUGUCAUAUAGUGUUGUAAUUUGUUCCUACAUAUAUAUAUACAUGUAUAUAGGGUAAUCUUUUGAAGUAACAUCAAUAAAUUCCUAGUCGUGUUUUAUAAAUCAGUAUUGAUUGAAGAAAAAUGUCAUAAUAAACGUGACUACGCGUGUGAAGCAUUUUUAAUCGUGUACAAGACUAAAUAUGUUAAUACGGAAGUGUUCCCCUAAGUGUAAAUUAUAUCUAAAAUUGUCUAUAUCUAAAAAAAAAAAAAAGGAAUACUCCUUGGAUGCAUUGUGCGGACGUGUCUUACGAGUUUAUUAUCGAUGGCAAAUUCGAUCAAUCAGAAGACGCAGCUGUAUACCACAGUGGAGCGUGUCUCGUGAGAAACCGCUCGGUGAAGACGUUCGUAUACCUUCUAGCCAGAAAUAUCGGGUUUCGGUACUUAUUUUCUGUGAAACAAUUUUCAAGUGAAGUAGCGUUAUUCAUUUUCGAGAUAUGUUUAAGUUUUAUCAUUUUUUUUUUCUUUUUUGUGCAAAUAGUGCAUAACGAAUUUCCCUCCUCGACAAUACCGACUCGUUUUUAUAAUUUUCAAUGUGAUAACGUCGAAUGAAAUAUAUUAUAAUAUAAUUAUCGAUGACCAGAGAUCAAUGAUAUCGACGCUUUCGUCCGUAACUAUGAUUGUCUGUAAUGGAAAUAUUUUUGUUUUUUUUUAUUUCUUUUUUCUUUUUACAUUCCAGAGACACAUGCUCGGCUUAUUAAAAAGAAAAAAAAGAAAAAUAAAUAUAAUAGGUAUGGUAUAAAAGAUGCUAUUAGUACACAGGAGGAAGAACGUUAGACAUACUUUUUAAUUAACUUGUUAUGUAAAUUACUACUCACAACAAAAUACAUUGAUAAUACUGUA